rnacentral:rRNA from 1 species
CUCCGGUGGUACAAGAUGGACCCGCGUCUGAUUAGCUAGUUGGUAAGGUAACGGCUUACCAAGGCGACGAUCAGUAGCCGACCUGAGAGGGUGACCGGCCACAUUGGGACUGAGACACGGCCCAAACUCCUACGGGAGGCAGCAGUGGGGAAUAUUGGGCAAUGGGCGCAAGCCUGACCCAGCAACGCCGCGUGAAGGAUGAAGGCUUUCGGGUUGUAAAGCUCUGUCUUUAGGGACGAUAAUGACGGUACCUAAGGAGGAAGCCACGGCUAACUAC